rnacentral:rRNA from 1 species
CUUGAGCUCAGUUCUAUGCAAGACUACCCGCUGAAUUUAAACAUAUUACUAAGCGGAGGAAAAGAAACUAACAAGGAUGGCCCUAGUAACGGCGAGUGAAGCGGUCCCAGCUUAAUCGACAAUCCCGUCGCAUCAAGCGACUGGGAAUUGUAGUCUUGGCCUUUGAACGGCGCUGGAUGAUGGGUAAUUCGAUGGAAAUCGAGGUCGUAGAGGGUGACAGCCCCGUGUGUCUGUCGUUCCGGCGCCAUAGUUCACUGGUUCACCGAGUAGCGUUCCUUGGGAAUGGAGCGUGAAGUGGGAGGUGAUUUCCUUCUAAAGCUAAAUAUUGGCGAGAGACCGAUAGCGAACAAGUACCGUGAGGGAAAGAUGAAAAGCACUUUGGAGAGAGAGUUAAACAGUAUGCGAAAUCGUUGGAAGCAAGCGAAUCAGUGGGUUUGGGCACGGCUCUGGGUUCCGGGCGCUCCGUUUGUUGUGUGCGGCUUGCCGCGCCAACUUACUUGCCAGCGCUCGGUCCUGGUGCGAGGUUUUGGUGCCUGGCUCCGGCCAGCCUUCUGAUCCGACCCGUCUUGAAACACGGACCAAGGAGUCUAAUAUGUGUGCGAGUGCUCGGGUGUCAAACCCCAGCGCGUAGGUAACCCAAUAACGCGUUAGUCCGUUUAACACCGGACGCACCGCGGGUAGUGUGUUUAUUCCCUAACAAGAGCACGUA